GUGCCCAUUUCGGCAGCACAUAUACUAAAACUGGAAUGAUACAGAGAUUAGCAUGGCCCCUGUGCAAGGAUGACAGGGAAAUUCGUGAAACAUUCCAUAUCUUG